UACCAGCACCCCGAGUGGUCGGGACGAUUAUUGGGCCUAAAGCAUCCGUAGCCGGUCAUGCAAGUCCUCCGUUAAAUCCACCUGCUUAACAGAUGGGCUGCGGAGGAUACUAUGGAGCUAGGAGGCGGGAGAGGCAAGCGGUACUUAGUGGGUAGGGGUAAAAUCCGUUGAUCCAUUGAAGACCACCAGUGGCGAAGGCGGCUUGCCAGAACGCACUCGACGGUGAGGGAUGAAAGCUGGGGGAGCAAACCGGG
rnacentral:rRNA from 1 species